rnacentral:lncRNA from 1 species
CCUUGGUCUGCUGGGCUCCAGCAGUGCCUUAUCUACCCCUGCCCCCUGCCUAGUGAGGCCUAGGGACAUAAGCUGAAAGGCGAGCAGUGAGGCAGCAGGCAAGCUUGUUUAAAAUCUCUCCUUCUCCUCCCUUUCCUUUUACAGAAGCCAAGGAGAAAUAGGAAAACUCAAAUGGUCCCUGCUCUAGUCUCAACCCCCAAGUUAAGGAAUGCAAAGAGAAGUGCCAGAAAACAGGAGCCUUUCCUUCAGAGGCUCUGCUGCCGCUGGUCAUGAAACCCCAUCAUCACUGAAAUUGCUCUAUUUUAAAGGUUUGUGAAAACUGCACCAAAUUGAUUUUUCCCAUACCACUUCUAUCUGUUAUUUCUG